rnacentral:misc_RNA from 1 species
GAAAUGCGAUAAGUAGUGUGAAUUGCAGAAUUCAGUGAAUCAUCGAAUCUUUGAACGCACAUUGCGCCCCUUGGUAUUCCAUGGGGCAUGCCUGUCCGAGCGUCAUUUGUACCCUCAAGCUCUGCUUGGUGUUGGGUGUUUGUCCCGUCUCCGCGCGUGGACUCGCCCCAAAGUGAUUGGCAGCCGGCGUACUGGUCCCGGAGCGCAGCACAUGUCGCGCAAACGAGUGCCUUGGUACGGCGGCGUCCAUAAGCCCCUCUCUCACGCUCUUGACCUCGGAUCAGGUAGGGAUACCCGCUGAACUUAAGC